AAGAGAUCUCCUGAGAAAGUCUGUUUUGUUUGAAGAGUGUUUAAUAGAUAGAAGGUGCUUCCUUUUUAGGAGCUGAAAUUUACCUUCUAACCAUUCCUUUCAGUCCAAUGAAGAUUCCCUACUGCAAGAAGGGUGUAGGAAUACCACAAAAAGGCUUAUGCAAUACAAGAUGCCUGCUGCCCUUCUAGGAAGAAUCUCUUACUGAAAUGAAAGAAACAAGACCAACGAGAUGACAUUGCCUGCUGGCGGAGGGAGGAUGCAGACUAGCAGGGAGAAAACCAUACUAGCUCUCCCAGGGUGAUGUCCAUCUCCAAAAAAUGAACAUUUCAUGUGAUGUCCCAUAACUGCUCCUUGGUCUGGUCUAUCUUCGUUUUAAUUAAAACUCAGAUGUUCACUAUCCUCACAUUAGCCCAUAUUUGGCCUCUACCAAUUGGUUGAAAUUUUUGGCUGAGUCAUUCUUACUGGACUGUGUGGUGUUAAGACAGCUGACACCACCUUCCAGGGCCUUUGCCUGAAAUAGCGCCUGAUUAGCUUCAACCUCUUCCUUGUCUUGGAUCCUGCACUCCUGUAUUGAUUUCUCCUGGAAGCACUUUCCUAUUAAACCACUUACACCUGAAUCCUCGGGUUAGGAUCUACUUCCGGGGAAUCCAGCCCGAGACCUUGGCAAACCCAAGGCUUUUCCACCAGCCCCGUCUCCUCAGGAUUUGCCCGCUGCCUUCUGUGUCGAUCUCCAGCACUGCGGCGCAAGAA